rnacentral:rRNA from 1 species
AUGAACGCUGGCGGCGUGCCUCAUACCUGCAAGUCGCGCGAACAGACGAGGAGCUUGCUCCUCUGACGUUAGCGGCGGACGGGUGAGUAACACGUGGAUAACCUACCUAUAAGACUGGGAUAACUUCGGGAAACCGGAGCUAAUACCGGAUAAUAUAUUGAACCGCAUGGUUCAAUAGUGAAAGACGGUUUUGUUGUCACUUAUAGAUGGAUCCGCGCCGCAUUAGCUAGUUGGUAAGGUAACGGCUUACCAAGGCGACGAUGCGUAGCCGACCUGAGAGGGUGAUCGGCCACACUGGAACUGAGACACGGUCCAGACUCCUACGGGAGGCAGCAGUAGGGAAUCUUCCGCAAUGGGCGAAAGCCUGACGGAGCAACGCCGCGUGAGUGAUGAAGGUCUUCGGAUCGUAAAACUCUGUUAUUAGGGAAGAACAAAUGUGUAAGUAACUAUGCACGUCUUGACGGUACCUAAUCAGAAAGCCACGGCUAACUACGUG